rnacentral:rRNA from 1 species
CCUCGGGUGGCUGCAGUGGGGAAUAUUGGACAAUGGGCGAAAGCCUGAUCCAGCCAUGCCGCGUGUGUGAAGAAGGCCUUCGGGUUGUAAAGCACUUUCAGUGGGGAAGAAAGCCUUGGGGCUAAUACCCUCGAGGAAGGACAUCACCCACAGAAGAAGCACCGGCUAACUCCAUGCCAGCAGCCGCGGUAAUACGGAGGGUGCGAGCGUUAAUCGGAAUUACUGGGCGUAAAGCGCGCGUAGGCGGUCUGAUAAGCCGGUUGUGAAAGCCCCGGGCUCAACCUGGGAACGGCAUCCGGAACUGUCAGGCUAGAGUGCAGGAGAGGAAGGUAGAAUUCCCGGUGUAGCGGUGAAAUGCGUAGAGAUCGGGAGGAAUACCAGUGGCGAAGGCGGCCUUCUGGACUGACACUGACGCUGAGGUGCGAAAGCGUGGGUAGCAAACAGGAUUAGAUACCCGAGUAGUC